rnacentral:tRNA from 1 species
GCCCAGGUAGCUCAGUCGGUAGAGCAGGGGACUGAAAAUCCCCGUGUCGGUGGUUCGAUUCCGCCCCUGGGCACCU